rnacentral:rRNA from 1 species
GUCUACGGCCAGGCCACCCUGAACAAACCCAGUCCUGUCUGAUCUCAGAAGCUAAGCCGGGUUGGACCUGGUUAGUACUUUGAUGGGAAACUACCUAGGAAGACGGGUGCUGUAGGUG